rnacentral:rRNA from 1 species
UACGAAGGGGGCUAGCGUUGCUCGGAAUCACUGGGCGUAAAGCGCACGUAGGCGGAUCUUUAAGUCAGGGGUGAAAUCCCAAGGCUCAACCUUGGAACUGCCUUUGAUACUGGGGAUCUCGAGUCCGGAAGAGGCGAGUGGAAUUCCUGGUGUAGCGGUGAAAUGCGCAGAUAUCAGGAGGAACACCAAUGGCGAAGGCAGCUCGCUGGGACGGUACUGACGCUGAGACGCGAAAGCGUGGGGAGCAAACAGG